rnacentral:rRNA from 1 species
CGACCGGUGCUUGCACUGGUCAAUCUAGUGGCGAACGGGUGAGUAACACGUGGGUAACCUGCCCAUCAGAGGGGGAUAACAUUCGGAAACGGAUGCUAAAACCGCAUAGGUCUUCGAACCGCAUGGUUUGAAGAGGAAAAGAGGCGCAAGCUUCUGCUGAUGGAUGGACCCGCGGUGCAUUAGCUAGUUGGUGAGGUAACGGCUCACCAAGGCCGUGAUGCAUAGCCGACCUGAGAGGGUGAUCGGCCACAUUGGGACUGAGACACGGCCCAAACUCCUACGGGAGGCAGCAGUAGGGAAUCUUCCGCAAUGGACGCAAGUCUGACGGAGCAACGCCGCGUGAGUGAAGAAGGUUUUCGGAUCGUAAAACUCUGUUGUUAGAGAAGAACAAGUGCUAGAGUAACUGUUAGCGCCUUGACGGUAUCUAACCAGAAAGCCACGGCUAACUACGUGCCAGCAGCCGCGGUAAUACGUAGGUGGCAAGCGUUGUCCGGAUUUAUUGGGCGUAAAGCGAGCGCAGGCGGUUCCUUAAGUCUGAUGUGAAAGCCCCCGGCUCAACCGGGGAGGGUCAUUGGAAACUGGGGAACUUGAGUGCAGAAGAGGAGAGUGGAAUUCCAUGUGUAGCGGUGAAAUGCGUAGAUAUAUGGAGGAACACCAGUGGCGAAGGCGACUCUCUGGUCUGUAACUGACGCUGAGGCUCGAAAGCGUGGGUAGCAAACAGGAUUA